rnacentral:rRNA from 1 species
UACGUAGGGGGCAAGCGUUAUCCGGUUUUACUGGGUGUAAAGGGAGCGUAGACGGCGAUGCAAGCCAGAUGUGAAAGCCCGGGGCUCAACCCCGGGACUGCAUUUGGAACUGUAUAGCUAGAGUGUCGGAGAGGCAGGCGGAAUUCCUAGUGUAGCGGUGAAAUGCGUAGAUAUUAGGAGGAACACCAGUGGCGAAGGCGGCCUGCUGGACGAUGACUGACGUUGAGGCUCGAAAGCGUGGGGAGCAAACAGG